AAUUUUUAGACAUCAGAUUUUAUUUGUAUGUUACACGAGUACAUAUGAUUUCCAGUAAAUUUGAUUAGAUGUUAGAGUAUUCCACUAUUAUUAUAAUUGUUCUUCCAGUAUGCAAAACCAUAUGAACGACCUUGUUCAGCAUUUUGUAUGUUAGCUUGGCACCUGUUCUAUCUUCCACAGUAUUCAGCUAUUAACCUAAAAAAAUAAAUUUACAAAAAUGAUCCUGUUCGAAAAAUUAUGACGGAAAUAACCUGAAAUCUACAGUGCCAAGCGAUGCCGACAUCUCACCUCCGGUACCACCCUCCAUCAUUCCCUAAUCAUGUCUUAAUGAUUGUCCCGUCUAAUAAAAAAAAGAUACUUUUUUUUUGUCGGCACUAUAAUGGUCGGCACUCAUAUGUAUUUUUUGAAAUACCUUCAAAAAAUAUGGAUAUUCUACGAUUUAAAAAGAAAAAGAAAUAAAAUAAUAUUUUAAUAGGUACCAGCAUUGGUUGAGAACUUUAAAAAAUAAAUUUUUUUUUUUUACUUUUUUGGUGCCAAUGUUGAAGUUGCCUGCAUUGGUUAAAAAAAAAUGGAUUGAGGAGGAAGAGAUCUGCACUCCGAUUAUGCCAGUUGGUCCAAUGGACGUCGGCAGUAGUUGACUGCAUAGUGGAGUGAAGGCGGUGGCUAGAAGAGAAGCAAAGAAUGAAAAAUGAAAAAAAAAAUAAAACUCAUCUGUUACCAUUAUUAAAGAGAAAGAGGAUAUGAGAUAAAAGAGAAAAGUAUUACAAUUACCAAAUAAAUAACAAGGUUUAACAUUAAUGGUCCACCAAACAAAUUUUGAAAUAAUAAUAAUAAUUGAAUUAUUAAUUUUUACCUUUUUUUUAGAAUUAACCAGAGUUAAAUAAGCUUUUCAUUUACCACUUAAAAAAGAUAUAAAAUUUUUAUUUGAAUAAAUUAAAACUCAUGGUUCAUAUUUAACAUUCAAUUAAAUAUUUCUAAAAAGAAUCAUUCAAUACAUUUUAAACCCCUUAGCGUUUAAAGUCUAAUUCCAAAUUUCAUUAUUUUAGUUAAUAUCUCUUGCAUUUCGAAUGAAGCAAGAGUUUUUUUGUUAAGAAUGAUUCUUUUCAAAAGUUUUGGUGCUUGCGGGUAUGAUAUUAUUAGUUUUCAUUUUUAAUUAUUUUGUUUUUUUCUGAUUAAUUUCAUAAUAAGGCUCCAAUGUUAUUUCAUUGGUAUUUUCUCUUUUAUUCAACUUUCAUCUCAUCUCCUCCAUAAUUGUUACACAUGGGUUUUGGUUUUUUAUUUUUCAUUCUUUGCUUCUCUUCUUCCUUCUCCAUUUGCUCUAAGCCACCUCUUUCGCUCCACUCUGCAAUCAGCUAUCGCCAACGCCUUUCGGCCCAAUUGAUACAAUUGGAGUGCAGCUUUAUUCCUCCUCAAUCUUUUUUUUGAACCGGUGUCGGCCACUUUAACACCAGCACCAAAAAGUAAAAAAAAUUAUUUUUUUUAAGUUUUGAACCGAUGCCGGCCACUUCAACGCUGGCACCUAUUAAAAUAUUGUUUUUUUAUUUUUUAAUUGUAGAAUACCCAUAUUUUUGAAGGUAUUUCAAAAAAAUACAUCUAGGUGUCGGCCAUUAUAGUGCCUGCACAAAAAAAUAUAAAUUUUUAUAGGACGGGACAAUCAUUAAGGCAUGAUUAGGGAAUGAUGGAAGGUGGUGUCGGUGGUGAGAUUGUUGGCACUGCCCAACACUAUAGAUUUUAAGUUAUUUUCGUCAUAGUUUUUCAAACAGGGUCAUUUUUGUAAGUAUUUAUUUUUUGAGAUUAGUUGGGUAAAAUAGCCUAAAUCAGGCCUUGUUCUAUAUAUUGAAUGAUCAUAGUAUAUUAAUAGUUGAAUACUUAAACAUAUGAAUGACCUCGAGAAAUGGCUAUCUAUAGAUAGCCUUAAACAUAUAAAAAUAGUAUAUUGCAUGCAGUUAGUGAAUAAAGAACAAAUUGUUGAGGGAAGAGGACUGGUAUCUCUUUAAAUGCCAUAGCACAGAGAAUGAGCACAUCAAGAAACAAUACUAUGGAACUAACUUUUCAAGAAUCAUGUUUAAAUCUAAGCCUCGCACAACACACAAUUAUACCACACUAGAUUUAACCCUUUUUUUUUAAGUUCACAAGCAUAACAAUACAAAUAUACGUUAAAAUACAAAUACGUAACAAUCACAAAGUUUAGAAUCAAACUAUUACAGUUCAGCACAAACUAAAAACUGAAAUAAUUUAAAUUAAAAUUGAGUAACUAAACCAAAACCUACAACAACACAUAGUGAGAUUUAGAUACCCACAUAUAUAAUUCAGAUACCUAAUUUCAUAAUUUCAAAUAAAGAAAGAGGAAGGGAAGAAUGAAAUUUUUGUCAUAAAGAAGAAGAAGAUACCUUUAAUCCUAAAGAGUAAUAGUAGAAAAGUUCAUUUCCAAUGAAAACAAAAAGAAGAGACCUUUGACAAAAAAAACACCUGAAAAAUCCAAGGUGAGUGCCGAACAAACGUCGAACAAUGAGGGUGACCUGGUGGACGCCAGACAGUGUGACUAGUAGUAGGGAUUUGGGGAGAUUUUAGAUUAGGGAUUUCCAAUUUUGAGGGAUAAGAUUAGAGAUUUAGGGUUAAGGAUUUCUAAUUUUUUGAUUUUUUGUGUGUUAUUUUUAGA
rnacentral:lncRNA from 1 species